GGCGGCGGCGGCGGCGGCGGAAGGCGGCCCGGGCCCUCGCAGGCCCAUGGCGGCGGCCGCGGCGCUCCCGGGCGCGGGCGGGCCUCCCGCGGGCGGCGGGGCCGGGGGCGGCGGGGGCGCGGGCGGCGGGUCCCCGCCGGGCGGCUGGGCCGUGGCGCGCCUCGAGGGCCGCGAGUUCGAGUACCUGAUGAAGAAGCGCUCGGUGACCAUCGGGCGCAACUCGUCGCAGGGCUCCGUGGACGUGAGCAUGGGCCACUCGAGCUUCAUCUCGCGGCGCCACCUCGAGAUCUUCACGCCCCCGGGCGGCGGCGGCCAUGGCGGGGCGGCCCCGGAGCCGUCCGCGCAGCCCGGGCCCGACACCGGCGGCGACUUCUACCUGCGCUGCCUCGGCAAGAACGGCGUGUUCGUGGACGGCGUGUUCCAGAGGCGCGGGGCGCCGCCGCUGCAGCUGCCGCGCGUGUGCACGUUUAGGUUCCCAAGCACAAACAUCAAGAUCACGUUCACUGCCCUGUCCAGUGAGAAGAGGGAGAAGCAGGAGGCUCCUGAGUCCCCAGUGAAGCCCGUGCAGGCCCACAUCUCGCCCCUGACCAUCAACAUUCCAGACACCAUGGCCCACCUCAUCAGCCCCCUUCCCUCCCCCACAGGAACCAUCAGUGCUGCAAACUCCUGCCCAUCCAGCCCCCGGGGAGCAGGGUCUUCGGGGUACAAAAUGGGCCGUGUGAUACCAGCUGACCUCAAUUUAAUGGCCGACAACUCCCAGCCAGAAAAUGAAAAGGAAGCUUCUGGUGGAGACAGCCCAAAGGAUGAUUCAAAGCCACCUUAUUCCUAUGCACAAUUAAUUGUACAAGCAAUUACAAUGGCUCCUGACAAACAACUCACUCUAAAUGGGAUUUAUACUCACAUCACUAAAAAUUACCCAUACUACAGGACUGCGGACAAGGGCUGGCAGAAUUCAAUUCGCCACAAUCUCUCUCUGAAUCGGUAUUUCAUCAAAGUACCACGUUCCCAGGAAGAACCAGGCAAAGGCUCAUUCUGGAGGAUAGACCCUGCCUCUGAAAGCAAAUUAAUAGAGCAGGCUUUUAGGAAAAGACGGCCUAGGGGCGUGCCUUGCUUUAGAACCCCUCUGGGACCGCUCUCGUCUAGAAGUGCCCCAGCCUCUCCCAAUCACGCUGGAGUGCUGUCUGCUCACUCCAGUGGUGCCCAGACCCCCGAGAGCCUGUCGAGGGAAGGUUCCCCGGCCCCGCUGGACCCGGAGCCCAGCGCGUCACAGCCCAAACUGGCCGUCAUCCAGGAGGCACGGUUUGCUCAGAGUGCACCAGGCUCUCCCCUGUCUAGUCAGCCUGUUUUAAUCGCUGUGCAGCGGCAGCUGCCGCCGACGAUCAAGCCUGUCACCUACACGGUCGCCGCCCCCGUGACCACCGCGACCUCCCAGCAGCCUGUCGUGCAGACGGUGCACGUCGUCCACCAGAUCCCCGCGGUGUCCGUCACCGGCGUGGCCGGCCUCGCCCCGGCCAGCACGUACACUGUUGCCGGCCAGGCCGUGGUCACGCAGGCGGCCGUGCUGGCCCCUCCUAAGGCAGAGCCGCAAGAGAAUGGAGACCACAAAGAAGUAAAAGUAAAAGUGGAACCUAUUCCUGCGAUUAGCCAUGCCACGCUGGGCGCCGCUAGCCGGAUCAUUCAGACGCCACAGACCACCCCCGUCCAGACGGUCACCAUCGUGCAGCAGGCUCCUCUGGGUCAGCACCAGCUACCAAUAAAAACUGUGACGCAGAACGGGACUCACGUGGUGCCAGUCCCUGCCGCCGUCCACGGCCAGGUGAACAACGCAGGGGCGAGUCCUCUGCACAUGCUGGCAACACACGCAUCGGCGUCCGCCUCCCUGCCCACAAAGCGCCAGAACGGCGACCAGUCGGAGCAGCCGGAGCUGAAGCGGGUCAAGACGGAAGACGGCGAGAGCAUCGUCAUCGCGCUGAGUGUGGACACGCCGCCGACGGCCGGCAGGGAGAAGGGUGUCCAGAACUAGCAACUGGGACAGCUUUUCUUACUUUAAUAUCAACUCUGUGGUGCCAAAAGGAGACACUGCCUCUCACCGACGCUCGGAACGCCGUCUCGGAAAUCCCCCUCAGCCUUUCAGAACUGAAGCAGUCCUAAAGCUGACUUCUCUCCUACAAGACACAAAAGUGAGAUGAAACAAAGGUGAGUGAAUGAGCAGUAAGGGCACCCCCCCCCCCCCGCCCCCGCCCGCCCGGCCUCCAUCACGCUGCCCCUGAACAAAACCCUUGGCCUUUCCAGAGCGUUCUGAGGGGGUCAGGGCUGAGCAGCCGUGCAACUAGAAGAGGGCUUUGGCCUUAUUGUGAACUUUUAAAUGUCAUCAUCAUCAUGUUAUUUAUUUAAAUGUAGUUAUUUUGGUAUUUAAUUUUUUUUUAAAGAGAGGGAAAACCCUGUAUUUUCCUGGUGGAAUGAAACGGCUCAGAGUGGUAUAUUUAGGCAAUUUUAAAACCUUAUUUACCUACAGACCAAAUAUGAUAAAUUUGUUCUAAGUAUUGUGUGUUAACCCACAGUACGGAGCUGUCACAAUGUUAUUGCAGAUAAUGCGUAUGAAAAAUAAUGAAAUUACUGCACACUAGCUGGAUUUAUAACUCAGCCAUUAAAGAAAAAUAAAAAUGAAACCAUCAUGUGAAUGAGGCCCCACGUGUGUGACAGUGGCAGGUAACUUGCAGGCUGGAGCCCGGAUGGGUCAGAGUGCCUCAGGGCAGCAGUCUGCAUCUUCCAGGCACUUUACAGACAACCUUGGAAUGUAUAGUUUCUGUCUUUUUACUCAGAAGGUUUGCGAUUUGCAAAAUAACGCCGAUUGCAUAAUGUCCUGCGUAGGGUCAGGUCGCUCCGCUGAGUGGUCCAGACCUGCCAGUCAUGACGACUCCCGUGGGCUCUGACUGAGCUCUGGGCAGGUGAAUGGUCGAGGCCACCCCAGCGGGAACACGGACUUGACCAAUGCAUCGUGUGUCCACCUGGAGCCGUGUCUCCACAGCAGUGUGCCUGUCACCGUCCAGAAAGACUGGGGUAGUUCUCCCAAAGUAAGCCCAGUCCAUCAGUUGGUUAUUUCUGAGCCUAAAACAUAGACUUUGUGGGUCUGGAGGGACUUUUGCUGGGAUUAUAGACUUUAAAAAAAGUACCCAGCUCUCCAGUAUUUUUGCCGUAAAGCAGCUGGCGUGUGCCUUUUUCAGAGGGCUUGGGGGCCUCUUCCGUGUCUUGUUCAGUUGGCUGAUUGAUUGGCACAUGGAAAUUUGAGACUAUCAAGGAGAAGGCAGAAAAACAACAUGGAUUAGCAAAUAGUCGUAUCCCAGGCACUUAACCGUUUGCAGUUUAGCUCUGAAUUCCCAGGAGCCCUCAAAACAUCCACGGCCACUGAGCUUGCGUCCCUGCUUGACUCCUGGUGCCCCCUGAACAGACGUGAUGCUCCGAACUAAUCCCCAGCUGUUCACUGGAAGUUCCUAAAUGUCUUACUUCAGGACGUUUCUGCUUUGACCUUUGCCAGACUUCUGGGCUCCCCAAGGAACUAGAAACUUCAUUUGAACAGCUUUGCCCCAAACCAAACAAAAAUACGAAAGAGAAACUCACAUGUGAGCCACGUGGCGUGGUGUGUCUGGGCAUGACUUGGGAUCCCUCCUACUCUGGCAACCUUAAGAGUCUCCACGUGGACAGCUGAGCUCCUUAAAGACACCACUCCCUUCACCAUCCUCCCUUAGAACAGCAGCAUAGACCCUGAGUCGGGCGGGGCAGCCCCAGGACUUAGGAUUUCCAAGCUAUGUGACACAAGGAGAUCAGUGACAGUCUUCAAGUCCUAACCUCCACAAUUCUAGAAAGCAUAGUGGUGAUUUGUGUGCAAAGAUUUUAAAUUUUAAAACUACCAAGUUCCUGAAACUCAAUAAAAUAUUUUUACUAAUUUUAA